AUGCUGACGGUAGCUCUGCUUCUGGUCGUGGUGGUCUUGCUGCAGUUGCUGCUGCUGGUAGUAGUGCUGGUGGUGAUGCUGGAGGUGGUGGUGGUGCUGGGGGUGGGGGUGGUGGUCGAGAUUCUGCUGCUGCAGCUGCUGGUGAUGGUGCUGCUGGUGCAGGGGCUGGAGCUGGGGCUGGGGCUGCUGGUGUUGCUGGUGCUGGAGGUGCUGCUGGUCCUGAUGGUCCUUGUGGUGCUGGUGCUGGUGCUGUCGAGAUGCUGGUGCUACUGGUGCUGCUUAUGGUGGUGGUGGUCCUGGUGGUGCUGGUCUGCUGGUGCUGGUGCUGGUGCAGGUCGUGCUGGUGCUUUAGGUGCUGCUGGUCCUGGUGCUGGUGCAGCUGGUGCUGAUGCUGCUGGUGCUGCUGCUACUGAUGCUGCUGAUGGUGCUGGUGCUGGUGCUGCUGGUGGUGUUGGUGCUGCUUCUGCUAGUGCUUGUGCUGGUGGAAUUCGUACUGGUAGUGCUGAUGCUGCUGGUGCUGGUGCUGGUGUUGGUGCUGGUGCUGCUGAUGCUGCCAAUGGUGAAGGAGCUGGUGCUGCUGGUCCUGCUGGAGCUGCUGCUGCUGGUGGUGGUGGUGCUGGUGGUGCUGGUGUUGGUGCUACUGGUGCAGCUUGUGCUGCUGGUGCUGGUGCUGGUCAUGCUGGUGCUAUUGGUGCUGCUGGUGCUGGUGCUGGUGUAGCUGUGGCUGCUCGUGGUCCUGGUGGUGGUGGUGUUGCUGGUGCUAUUUUUAUUGGUGGUGGUGGUGCUGCUGAUGGUGGUCGUGGUGCUGCUGCAUCUGCUGGUGCUGCUGGUGCUGCUAGUUGUGCUGGUGGUGCAGGUGGUGCUGCUGGUGCUGCUUCCUCUGGUGCUGCUGGUGGUAGUGGUGGUGGUUUUGGUGCUGCUGGUGCUGAUUGUGCUGGUGGUGGUGCCGGUGCUGGUCAUGCUGGUGCUAUUGGUGCUGCUGGUGCUGGUGCUGGUCAUGCUGUUGCUGCUGGUGCUGGUGCUGCUGGUGUUGUUGUUGUUGAUGGUGAUGCUUCUGCUGGAGCUGCUGGUGCUGCUGCUGGUGGUGAUGGUGCUGGUGCUGCUUGUGCUGCUGGUGCUGGAGCUGGUGUAGCUGCUGGUGCUGCUGCUGGUGUUGGUGCUGCUGAUCAGCUUGUGGUGGUGCUGGUGGUGCUUCUGAUUGUCCCUGUGUUGGUGCAGGUGCUGGUCGUGCUGCUCCUAGGGGUACAGCUGGUGCUGAGGAUGGAGCUGCUGGUACUGCUGGUGCUUGUGCCAGUGUAG
rnacentral:lncRNA from 1 species